GGCUCAGAACGAACGCUGGCGGCGCGUUUAAGCAUGCAAGUCGAGCGGCAAGGGCCUUCGGGCCCCUAGAGCGGCGGACGGGUGAGUAACACGUGGACAAUCUGCCCCCCGGCCCGGGAUAGCCCAGGGAAACCUGGAUUAAUACCGGAUGAGACGGGACCCGCGAUGGCGGGACCCGGGAAAGGCGCUGCGGCGCCGCCGGGGGAUGAGUCUGCGUCCCAUUAGCUAGACGGCGGGGUAACGGCCCACCGUGGCGACGAUGGGUAGCCGGCCUGAGAGGGUGGACGGCCACAUUGGAACUGAGACACGGUCCAGACUCCUACGGGAGGCAGCAGCUAAGAAUCUUCCGCAAUGGGCGAAAGCCUGACGGAGCCGACGCCGCGUGAACGAAGAAGGCCGUGAGGUUGUAAAGUUCUUUUCGGGAGGGGAACAACCGUGGCAGGGAGUGGCCGCGGGAUGACGUGAAUCCCGGAAUAAGCCCCGGCUAACUACGUGCCAGCCGCCGC
rnacentral:rRNA from 1 species